rnacentral:rRNA from 1 species
UGGGGAAUUUUGGACAAUGGGGGAAACCCUGAUCCAGCCAUCCCGCGUGUGCGAUGAAGGCCUUCGGGUUGUAAAGCACUUUUGGCAGGAAAGAAACGUCAUGGGUUAAUACCCCGUGAAACUGACGGUACCUGCAGAAUAAGCACCGGCUAACUACGUGCCAGCAGCCGCGGUAAUACGUAGGGUGCAAGCGUUAAUCGGAAUUACUGGGCGUAAAGCGUGCGCAGGCGGUUCGGAAAGAAAGAUGUGAAAUCCCAGAGCUCAACUUUGGAACUGCAUUUUUAACUACCGGGAUAGAGUGUGUCAGAGGGAGGUGGAAUUCCGCGUGUAGCAGUGAAAUGCGUAGAUAUGCGGAGGAACACCGAUGGCGAAGGCAGCCUCCUGGGAUAAGACUGACGCUCAUGCACGAAAGCGUGGGGAGCAAACAGG